rnacentral:rRNA from 1 species
GACGAACGCUGGCGGCGUGCUUAACACAUGCAAGUCGAACGGAAAGGCCCCUUUGGGGGUACUCGAGUGGCGAACGGGUGAGUAACACGUGAGUAACCUGCCCUUGACUUCGGGAUAACUUCAGGAAACUGGGGCUAAUACCGGAUAGGAAUCCUUGCUGCAUGGUGGGGGUUGGAAAGCUUCGGCGGUUUUGGAUGGACUCGCGGCUUAUCAGCUUGUUGGUGGGGUAGUGGCUUACCAAGGCUUUGACGGGUAGCCGGCCUGAGAGGGCGACCGGCCACAUUGGGACUGAGAUACGGCCCAGACUCCUACGGGAGGCAGCAGUGGGGAAUAUUGCACAAUGGGCGGAAGCCUGAGGCAGAAACGCCGCGUGCGGGAUGACGGACUUCGGGUGGUAAACCGCUUUCAGCAGGGGCGAAGAUUUUGUGACGGUACCUGAAGAAGAAGCACCGGCUAACUACGUG